AUGCAAGUCGAACGGCAGCACGGGAGCAAUCCUGGUGGCGAGUGGCGAACGGGUGAGUAAUAUAUCGGAACGUGCCCAGUCGUGGGGGAUAACGUAGCGAAAGCUACGCUAAUACCGCAUACGAUCUAUGGAUGAANCGGGGGAUCGCAAGACCUCGCGCGAUUGGAGCGGCCGAUAUCAGAUUAGGUAGUUGGUGAGGUAAAGGCUCACCAAGCCGACGAUCUGUAGCUGGUCUGAGAGGACGACCAGCCACACUGGGACUGAGACACGGCCCAGACUCCUACGGGAGGCAGCAGUGGGGAAUUUUGGACAAUGGGCGCAAGCCUGAUCCAGCAAUGCCGCGUGCAGGAUGAAGGCCUUCGGGUUGUAAACUGCUUUUGUACGGAACGAAACGGUGAGCUCUAAUACAGUUUGCUAAUGACGGUACCGUAAGAAUAAGCACCGGCUAACUACGUG
rnacentral:rRNA from 1 species